rnacentral:rRNA from 1 species
GACGAACGCUGGCGGCGUGCCUAAUACAUGCAAGUCGAACGCAGUUGCGCACGGGUGAGUAACGCGUAGGUAACUGCCUCAUAGCGGGGGAUAACUAUUUGAAACGAUAGCUAAUACCGCAUACUGUUAGAUGGACUUGCUUUGUAUUAGGUAGUUGGUGAGGUAAAGGCUCACCAAGGCGCAGAUCCCUACCCGGCGUGAGAGGGUGAGCGGGCAAACUGGAACUGAGAAACGGCCCCGACUCCUACGGGAGGCAGCAGUAGGGAAUCUUCGGCAAGGGACGGAAGUCUGACCGAGCAACUGCGGGGGAGAGAAGAAGGGUCUCGGGGCGUAAAGCUCUUUUGUGCGAGAAGCGGUAACUAAACAGAAAGGGACGGCUAACUACGUGCCAGCAGCCGCGGUAAUUC